rnacentral:rRNA from 1 species
GUUAGGAAUAUUGGACAAUGGGCGCAAGCCUGAUCCAGCCAUGCCGCGUGAACGAUGAAGGCCUUCGGGUUGUAAAGUUCUUUAGCCGAUGAUUAUAAUGACUGUAGUCGGAAAAUAAGCCCCGGCUAACUUCGUGCCAGCAGCCGCGGUAAUACGAAGGGGGCGAGCGUUAUUCGGAAUCACUGGGCGUAAAGCGUGCGUAGGCGGUCUCGUAAGUUAGGAGUGAAAGCCCAGGGCUCAACCUUGGAAUUGCUCUUAAAACUGCAAGGCUAGAAUCUCGGAGAGGAUAGCGGAAUUUCCAGUGUAGCAGUGAAAUGCGUAGAUAUUGGAAGGAACACCAGUGGCGUAAGCGGCUAUCUGGACGAGUAUUGACGUUGAGGCACGAAAGCGUGGGGAUCAAACAGGAUUAGAUACCCUUGUAGUCC